rnacentral:rRNA from 1 species
UGGGGAAUAACUUCGGGAAACCGAGGCUAAUACCGCAUAAUACCCACGGGUCAAAGGAGCAAUUCGCUUGAGGAGGAGGUCGCGGCCCGAUUAGUUAGUUGCGGGGUAAUGGCCCCACCAAGACGGUGAUUGGUAUCCGGCCUGAGAGGGCGCACGGACACACUGGAACUGAAACACGGUCCAGACUCCUACGGGAGGCAGCAGUGGGGAAUUUUGCGCAAUGGGGGAAACCCUGACGCAGCAACGCCGCGUGGAGGAUGAAGUCUCUUGGGACGUAAACUCCUUUUCGAUCGGGACGAUUAUGACGGUACCGGAAGAAGAAGCCCCGGCUAACUUCGUG